GAUGAACGCUGGCGGCGUGCCUAAUACACGCAAGUCGAGCGAACAGACGAGGAGCUUGCUCCUCUGACGUUAGCGGCGGACGGGUGAGUAACACGUGGAUAACCUACCUAUAAGACUGGGAUAACUUCGGGAAACCGGAGCUAAUACCGGAUAAUAUAUUGAACCGCAUGGUUCAAUAGUGAAAGACGGUUUUGCUGUCACUUAUAGAUGGAUCCGCGCCGCAUUAGCUAGUUGGUAAGGUAACGGCUUACCAAGGCAACGAUGCGUAGCCGACCUGAGAGGGUGAUCGGCCACACUGGAACUGAGACACGGUCCAGACUCCUACGGGAGGCAGCAGUAGGGAAUCUUCCGCAAUGGGCGAAAGCUUGACGGAGCAACGCCGCGUGAGUGAUGAAGGUCUUCGGAUCGUAAAACUCUGUUAUUAGGGAAGAACAAAUGUGUAAGUAACUAUGCACGUCUUGACGGUACCUAAUCAGAAAGCCACGGCUAACUACGUG
rnacentral:rRNA from 1 species